AGAGUUUGAUCAUGGCUCAGAAUGAACGCUGGCGGCGUGCCUAACACAUGCAAGUCGAACGAGGCGGAGGGGGGCAACUCCUUCCGUCGAGUGGCGGACGGGUGAGUAACACGUGGGUAACCUGCCCGGAAGUGGGGAAUACCUCGGGGAAACUCGAGCUAAUUCCGCAUGACAUCUUUGGGACGGAAGUCCUGACGAUCAAAGCGGGGUCGCAAGACCUCGCGCUACCGGAUGGGCCCGCGCCCGAUUAGCUAGUUGGUGAGGUAACGGCUCACCAAGGCUUCGAUCGGUAACCGGCCUGAGAGGGCGAUCGGUCACACCGGAACUGAGACACGGUCCGGACUCCUACGGGAGGCAGCAGUGGGGAAUCUUGCGCAAUGGGCGAAAGCCUGACGCAGCAACGCCGCGUGGAGGAUGAAGGCCCUUGGGUUGUAAACUCCUGUCGGCUGGGAAGAAAUCAUACGGUGCUAAUACCACCGUGUGUUGACUGUACCAGCAAAGGAAGCCCCGGCUAACUCUGUGCCAGCAGCCGCGGUA
rnacentral:rRNA from 1 species